UUGUCUCAAAGAUUAAGCCAUGCAUGUCUCAGUACAAGCCAAAUUAAGGUGAAACCGCGAAAGGCUCAUUAAAUCAGUUAUGGUUCCUUAGAUCGUACCCACAUUUACUUGGAUAACUGUGGUAAUUCUAGAGCUAAUACAUGCAAACAGAGCUCCGACCGGAGACGGGAGGAGUGCUUUUAUUAGAACAAAACCAAUCGGCGGCACGACUGUUUAACGACGGCGCGUCCGCCGAAGAAACUGGUGAAUCUGAAUAACUUUACGCUGAUCGCACGGUCUCGCACCGGCGACGCAUCUUUCAAAUGUCUGCCUUAUCAACUGUCGAUGGUAGGUUCUGCGCCUACCAUGGUUGUAACGGGUAACGGGGAAUCAGGGUUCGAUUCCGGAGAGGGAGCCUGAGAAACGGCUACCACAUCCAAGGAAGGCAGCAGGCGCGCAAAUUACCCACUCCCGGCACGGGGAGGUAGUGACGAAAAAUAACGAUACGGGACUCAUCCGAGGCCCCGUAAUCGGAAUGAGUACACUUUAAAUCCUUUAACGAUGACCAAUUGGAGGGAAAGUCUGGUGCCAGCAGCCGCAGUAAUUCCAGCUCCAAUAGCGUAUAUUAAAGUUGUUGCGGUUAAAAAGCUUGUAGUUGAAUUUGUGUCCCGCGCUGCCGGUUCACCGCCCGCGGUGUUCAACUUGUACGUUCGCGGGACGUCUUGCCGGUGGGUCGCGACCGCUCGGUCACCGGCACGCGGUCACCCGUCCCCGGGCCCGUGGUUUCCUCGCGUAGGCGUUGCUUCUGUUCGCGGUUGUACGUCUCGCAGGUCCGUGUGUGCUUCGGGGGUGCGGGCCCGUGCCGUCGGCCCGGUGCGUCCCGACCCGACUAUGAAAACCCGCCGCGGUGCUCUUGACUGAGUUUCGAGGUGGGCCGGCACGUUUACUUUGAACAAAUUAGAGUGCUCAAAGCACAUNNNNNNNNNNNNNNNNNNNNNNNNNNNNNNNNNNGGAAUAAUGGAACAGGACCUCAAUUCUAUUUUGUUGGUUUCCGGAAUGUUGAGGUUAUGAUUAAUAGGGACAGAUGGGGGCAUUCGUAUUGCGACGUUAGAGGUGAAAUUCUUGGACCGUUCAAGACGGACAGAAGCGAAAGCAUUUGCCAAAGAUGUUUUCAUUAAUCAAGAACGAAAGUCAGAGGUUCGAAGGCGAUCAGAUACCGCCCUAGUUCUGACCAUAAACGAUGCCAGCUAGCGAUCCGCCGACGUUCCUCCGAUGACUCGGCGGGCAGCUUCCGGGAAACCAAAGCUUUUGGGUUCCGGGGGAAGUAUGGUUGCAAAGCUGAAACUUAAAGGAAUUGACGGAAGGGCACCACCAGAAGUGGAGCCUGCGGCUUAAUUUGACUCAACACGGGAAACCUCACCAGGCCCAGACACCGGAAGGAUUGACAGAUUGAGAGCUCUUUCUUGAUUCGGUGGGUGGUGGUGCAUGGCCGUUCUUAGUUGGUGGAGCGAUUUGUCUGGUUAAUUCCGAUAACGAACGAGAUUCUAUCCUGCUAACUAGGCGUUACUUUCCGGCAUCUCGAAGGCUCCGCGCCCCGGCUUCGGCAACGUCGGCACUCUCUGUCGGCGCUCGUUCGCGGGUGUCGGCUCUCGGCGGUAGUCGUGCGCGUGUCCGCAGUCGCGGUUGCGAGUUUUUACUGCCGGCGUACAUAAUAAUCUUCUUAGAGGGACAGGCGGCUCCUAGCCGCACGAGAUUGAGCAAUAACACGUCUGUGAUGCCCUUAGAUGUUCUGGGCCGCACGCGCGCUACACUGAAGGAAUCAGCGUGUCCUCCCUGGCCGAACGGUCCGGGUAACCCGCUGAACCUCCUUCGUGUAGGGGAUGGGGCUUGCAAUGUCCCCAUGAACGAGGAAUUUCCAGUAAGCGCGAGUCAUAAGCUCGCGUUGAUUACGUCCCUGCCCUUUGUACACACCGCCCGUCGCUACUACCGAUUGAAUGAUUUAGUGAGGUCUUCGGACCGGUACGCGGUGGCGUUUCGACGUCGCCGAUGUCUCUGGGAAGAUGACCAAACUUGAUUAUUU
rnacentral:rRNA from 1 species